GAAACACAAUGGAAAAAAACAAUUAAAAACAAUAAAAAUUAAAAAAAGGAAAGAGUCACCACUUGCUUUGCUUCCUGUUUGUCCCCAUGGCAAACUUUUUU
rnacentral:ribozyme from 1 species